ACUUAAAUUGAAGAGUUUGAUCAUGGCUCAGAUUGAACGCUGGCGGCAGGCCUAACACAUGCAAGUCGAGCGGUAGCACAGAGAGCUUGCUCUCGGGUGACGAGCGGCGGACGGGUGAGUAAUGUCUGGGAAACUGCCUGAUGGAGGGGGAUAACUACUGGAAACGGUAGCUAAUACCGCAUAAUGUCGCAAGACCAAAGUGGGGGACCUUCGGGCCUCAUGCCAUCAGAUGUGCCCAGAUGGGAUUAGCUAGUAGGUGGGGUAACGGCUCACCUAGGCGACGAUCCCUAGCUGGUCUGAGAGGAUGACCAGCCACACUGGAACUGAGACACGGUCCAGACUCCUACGGGAGGCAGCAGUGGGGAAUAUUGCACAAUGGGCGCAAGCCUGAUGCAGCCAUGCCGCGUGUGUGAAGAAGGCCUUCGGGUUGUAAAGCACUUUCAGCGGGGAGGAAGGCGGUGAGGUUAAUAACCUCAUCGAUUGACGUUACCCGCAGAAGAAGCACCGGCUAACUCCGUGCCAGCAGCCGCGGUAAUACGGAGGGUGCAAGCGUUAAUCGGAAUUACUGGGCGUAAAGCGCACGCAGGCGGUCUGUCAAGUCGGAUGUGAAAUCCCCGGGCUCAACCUGGGAACUGCAUUCGAAACUGGCAGGCUAGAGUCUUGUAGAGGGGGGUAGAAUUCCAGGUGUAGCGGUGAAAUGCGUAGAGAUCUGGAGGAAUACCGGUGGCGAAGGCGGCCCCCUGGACAAAGACUGACGCUCAGGUGCGAAAGCGUGGGGAGCAAACAGGAUUAGAUACCCUGGUAGUCCACGCCGUAAACGAUGUCGAUUUGGAGGUUGUGCCCUUGAGGCGUGGCUUCCGGAGCUAACGCGUUAAAUCGACCGCCUGGGGAGUACGGCCGCAAGGUUAAAACUCAAAUGAAUUGACGGGGGCCCGCACAAGCGGUGGAGCAUGUGGUUUAAUUCGAUGCAACGCGAAGAACCUUACCUGGUCUUGACAUCCACAGAACUU
rnacentral:rRNA from 1 species